CAGUUGUAGAAUGGCUUAAGAGUGGGGAGGCUUUCUCGGAUAUACAUGUGACUGCUUGGGUUUGGAGUUUUUGUUUUUGUUUUUUUUUAACAUAUUAGUUUCAUUUCACUAAAACUGAAACAAUGAAUAUGAAGUUGGGCCUAAACACAAGGAAGGACAUUACAAUGAAUAGAAAAAUACAAGUCCGUCAUAAGCUAAAGACCAAAAUCA
rnacentral:lncRNA from 1 species